rnacentral:rRNA from 1 species
GACGAACGCUGGCGGCGUGCUUAACACAUGCAAGUCGAACGGAAAGGCCCCUUUGGGGGUCCUCGAGUGGCGCACGGGUGAGUAACACGUGAGUAACCUGCCCUUGACUUCGGGAUAACUUCAGGAAACUGGGGCUAAUACCGGAUAGGAAUCCUUGCUGCAUGGUGGGGGUUGGAAAGCUUCGGCGGUUUUGGAUGGACUCGCGGCUUAUCAGCUUGUUGGUGGGGUAGUGGCUUACCAAGGCUUUGACGGGUAGCCGGCCCGAGAGGGCGACCGGCCACAUUGGGACUGAGAUACGGCCCAGACUCCUACGGGAGGCAGCAGUGGGGAAUAUUGCACAAUGGGCGGAAGCCUGAUGCAGCAACGCCGCGUGCGGGAUGACGGCCUUCGGAUUGUAAACCGCUUUCAGCAGGGGCGAAGCUUGUGGUGACGGUACCUGCAGAAGAAGCACCGGCUAACUACGUG